rnacentral:misc_RNA from 1 species
GGAGAAAAGUUCUUUCCAGGCCACCAAUGUAAGCAGAAAACCCUGAUGUCUUUACAAGGGCAAGAAAGUGAUGCAGCUUUGUUUCAAAUGCAAAAUCAGAAUGUGGACGAAGGGGAGGAAGAGUUGUAUGAUACUAUGGAAGGGGAUAUUGCUCAGGAAGAGGGUACUUUGUCAGUACAUGCUAUUGAGGGUAGUCAGGGGAUGGAUACUAUAA